rnacentral:lncRNA from 1 species
AAACUCAUUUUUAAUGGCUUGUGCGGCAUCAGUUGUGCCCCUGAGCUGUAAUGAAGGGCUCUGCAAGUCACCACAAGCGAGUCAGAAAUGAAUCUCACGGAGAGGAAAAUGCUGGAACGUUAAUAGGUUUUAAUCCAACUUAGAAGGCUUCCAUAGAUUCUACCUGGCUUGCUGGAGGCUUAAGCUUUCUUCUUUCCAGAACUGGAAACUCAGUUCUUCCCAGCAUUAGCUUUGCUUCUGUGCUAAGCAUAAAUCAUUGGAAUUUCAUAAGCUUUCUUUCUCUUAGCACUCAUACACUUUGUAAAUCAAUGAUUUGCAAAGUAAAAAGGGCUCCCUUCAGUAAAUAUUUUCAAGGCAGGUCUGUCUUCCCCUGCUUUCCGAGCAGAGGCAAAGACUCCCUCUAAUCCUG